UGCUGACGAGUGGCGAACGGGUGAGUAAUGCAUCGGAACGUGCCCAGUCGUGGGGGAUAACUGCUCGAAAGAGCAGCUAAUACCGCAUACGACCUGAGGGUGAAAGCGGGGGACCGAAAGGCCUCGCGCGAUUGGAGCGGCCGAUGUCAGAUUAGGUAGUUGGUGGGGUAAAGGCCUACCAAGCCGACGAUCUGUAGUUGGUCUGAGAGGACGACCAGCCACACUGGGACUGAGACACGGCCCAGACUCCUACGGGAGGCAGCAGUGGGGAAUUUUGGACAAUGGGGGCAACCCUGAUCCAGCAAUGCCGCGUGCAGGAAGAAGGCCUUCGGGUUGUAAACUGCUUUUGUCAGGGAAGAAAUCCUGUGGGUUAAUACCUCGUGGGGAUGACGGUACCUGAAGAAUAAGCACCGGCUAACUACGUGCCAGCAGCCGCGGUAAUACGUAGGGUGCGAGCGUUAAUCGGAAUUACUGGGCGUAAAGCGUGCGCAGGCGGUUUUGUAAGACAGA
rnacentral:rRNA from 1 species